rnacentral:siRNA from 1 species
AACAUUAAAAUUCAGUGGCAGCCA